AUAGAAACGGCUGGAGGAGCACAGCUGAUCAGCAGUUCAGCACCUCUGCAUCUCAGGAUAUCAUCAUCAUCAUCAUCAUCAUCUCCCGGAUCAUCAGUGUUUGCGCGGUGUGUUUUCUCUGUCUGUCGGACUCUGAGGAUGUGUUCUGCUCUGGGCAUUCAUCAGUAACUCCUCGGUUUAGCUGUUCUUCAUCAGUGAGGAUGAGUGCGGAGAAGCCCAACUUCCUGUCUCAGCCCGAGGUGAAGAGCAUUUACUUCUUCCGCAACGGAGACCCGUUUUUCGAGCCCCGGCGGCUGGUGCUGAACGCGCGGCGGGUGUGCGGGUUCGAGGCGGUGCUGCGGGAGGUGACCGGCGGGGUGCGGGCGCCGUUCGGAGCCGUCAGGAGCAUCUACACGCCCCGCGGCGGACACCCGGUGCUCUCGCUGGAGGAGCUGCGGAGCGGGGAGCAGUAUGUGGCCGCCGGCAGAGAAAAGUUCAAGAAGAUCGAUUAUUCGCAGAUUGGAGCCAGGAAGAAGAGAACACUUCAGCUCAAUGGAGUGUUGAAGCCUGUUCCUCAGAGUCGAGUGAUGGUUUCUGCACGCUUCCUCAAGCCCAUCAAAGAGCCCUGCACAAUAUUUAUUGUGGCGAAUGGAGAUGUCCUGAAUCCAGCUGUGAGGUGUCUGAUUCCCAGCCGUGUGAUUGGUCAGUUUGAGCGAAUUCUGGAGAUGAUUACAGAGAAGAUGGGCCUGCGGAUCGUGGGUGGAGUGCACAGCCUGUACACUUUCGAGGGCACUCUGGUCAUGGAUGGGAGCGAGUUAGAGAGCGGGCAGUUUUACGUGGCCGUCGGCAGAGACAAGUUUAAGAAGCUUCAGUACAGCGACCUGCUGUUCAGCAAACACACGGCGGUGAAGAGAGUCAACGGGUCUAAAGCGGCGUCUCUUCCACCCAUCUACAAAUACAGACGGCAGAAUGGAGACGUGUUGAACCCUCAGAGUAAGUGUGUGAGUGUGCAGGAUAAGAGCGCAGCAGCGGUGAGCAGCAGCUCAGAGGAUCAGCUGAUGUCCAUGGUGAGGGAGAUGUCUCAGGCCAGACUCAGAAUCAUCCGCAAGAAGAGGAGCAUGACCACCUCACUGGAGACACAGGACAACGAGAAAGAAGAGGAGGAGGAGGA